UUCAAAUCAAAUGGUUGUAGACUUCAGUACAAAAAGGUCAAAUGGCAUUAUAUGGUCUGUGCUGUAUUUCUGGUCUUCAGAAAUAGGAGUAGAAAGGAAAAUAGGUUUGCAAGAUAGUUAACCUACUGCAGGACAGGUUUAAAAGGAGACAGAGUGCAGAUAGCAAGUAAUAACGAUACAGAGCCAUUUCCCCUACUUUUAGCUCUAUCUUUUCGGUGACUGCAUUCAAAGAUGGCAAUAAACUGUGUAACCAUUGCAUAAUGAUGGGAGUGAGAAGAGUUUUUCCUCGAAAGUACUUAGGACACUAAGCAGAUGGCAACAGCUAAUCCAGUCCAAAGAAGGAAGAAGUGAAAUCAUCCGGUCAGUUACAUUCACUGGGGAAAGUCACUGUGAUUCUCCUAGAUCUAAUAGAAAAAGAAAAUAAGACCUUGCAGAAACCACCAUGUAUGUAUAAUUUUACAAUGGAGCAGUCAGUCAUCUCGUCUUUUCUUAAGCUGCUGUAAUUGGAAAAAAACAACACAUUUUUCUCCUUUAUUACCUACGAAUGUAUCCAUAACAGUUUCCUGUAGUUGUUCAAUGUCAACUGAAUUACACUGACACAGAAAUGCUGUAGUUUGUAGCACUGUGAGAUCAGAUGAAUUACAGAUUCUCCCUACAUUCUUUGCAGUUGUGUUUUUCAGUGGGCACCAGCACAAAAUUUGAUUGAGCGCUUACAACUGCACAAAAAGCAAGACUGGCAAAGAACGCGCACUGAAGCUUUCUCAGCACAACAUCAUGGAUAGUAUUUGGAAUGAGGAAAGCAGUAAGGCAGCACUAAUUCAAUCCGCAAUGUAGCCCGGGUGUCAGUCAGGUCCUUGUGCUGCUUUGGCUGGGUUUAGGGCUAAGUCUGUGUCAGUAGGGGAUGACUUUCCCUCUUGUUCCUCCCGAGUUAUGACUUCACCCUUAUUGUCUCCAAAAGCUCAUGUUUCAUCUCUAGCCAAAGAGUCUUCCACAUUACCUCUAACAACUCCAUCCUCUGGACUGCUGACCGCACCAGAAGAACGGGUCCCUGCAGGUCGCAGUCCUUCUGUUGGCUGCUCUAACUUAAAGGAGAUGAGAUGA
rnacentral:lncRNA from 1 species